rnacentral:lncRNA from 1 species
GAGUGCCAGCUCUGUGGUGGCCGUGGCCGUGCUGGAGGGACAGCUGCUUUCUGUGACAGCCUGCAGUUGUUAUGUGGAGCCCAGUCAAAACAAAAUGAAACAGUAAUUAAGAUUUAUGAAAUAAUUGUCUCACAAAAGCCUGCUGAAAAGGAGAAGCGAUAAUGAAAAGGCUGAAAGAAAAGGAAUUGCUUGUUCCUGGGACAACUGAGAAUGUAGCAGCAGGUUCUUUUCUGCAGGAAAAUUUAACAGCCAAGUGCUGUCUGCCUACAUGGAGACCCCAUUGUGCUUAACUUUGGGAGAAACAACUGCUGUCUCAUAUCCAAUUCCAACAUUUCACAAAGCAUUUCCUGAGGAAUUCAGUCUUCUCAGCCUGCCCUGCUGCUGUCUAUCCAGAAAAGAGUCACUUCAGAAGACCAAAAGCUAAAGGCCACAUUUUUAGUGGCAUUUACCCAAGUAAAGAUAUGGA